GACCCGAUGAGCUGCAACUUUCUGCAGCUAAAUGAAGAUAAGACUGAACACGCAGAGAUAUGAGAGGAGGAAGAGGCUGAAGGAGGAGGAAGAGGCUGAAGGAGGAGCAACACUGUCACAGAGCAGAAAAGGACUCCCACUGUCAGAUACAUUCAAUAUGUGAAGCAUACAGAACAGAUAGUGUGUGGAAGAUGCUGUCACUGCAUUACUGGCUCAUGUUUCCUUUGUUUGUGAUCACACUAACAGGUGUCAGCUGUGAUCAACUCACUGCAGUCAAGGAUGAAGAGUCCACUGUAGAAGGAAACACUCUCACUCUGUCCUACAGAUUCUCUGGACAAGCUAAUGUCAACGAUUAUUUCUUCUGGUAUCGACAAUAUCCAGGAAACCCACCAGAGUUCCUGAUCUCUCAUUUGGGAAAUGGAGAUUUAUUGAAGCAAGAAUUCUCCAGAGUGUCUUUUAAAGUCGUUGAUGAUCAAAGACAAAUAACGAUCUCCUCUGCUGCAGUGUCUGACUCUGCUGUGUACUACUGUGCUGUGAGGCCCACAGUGACAGGAAACAGCAAAACUCUGUACAAAAACCUUUGGAGCAAAGACAACAGAAUACUCCACAACAUCCACUAGAGGGAGCCACACACUGUUAAACCUCAGUGCUUUGGUUGGAUAUAAUCCCUUUUUUUCACUCCACUUCACUAGUGUGACAUGUGACUCAGUCCACUGUAAAUCAUUAAGUGCUGUUGUGAGUUUUGUGAGUCUAAAGUAAGCAAGUAGAGCAGAAACUAGGUGAUUUAUUAUUUCUCAUAAAGAGUUAUUCUUGGCCUGAUAUGAACCAUUUAGCAAA